CCUUUAGGUUCGGAAUAACUCAGGGAAACUUGUGCUAAUACCGAAUGUGCCCUUCGGGGGAAAGAUUUAUCGCCUUUAGAGCGGCCCGCGUCUGAUUAGCUAGUUGGUGAGGUAAAGGCUCACCAAGGCGACGAUCAGUAGCUGGUCUGAGAGGAUGAUCAGCCACAUUGGGACUGAGACACGGCCCAAACUCCUACGGGAGGCAGCAGUGGGGAAUCUUGCGCAAUGGGCGAAAGCCUGACGCAGCCAUGCCGCGUGAAUGAUGAAGGUCUUAGGAUUGUAAAAUUCUUUCACCGGGGACGAUAAUGACGGUACCCGGAGAAGAAGCCCCGGCUAACUUCGUGCCAGCAGCCGCGGUAAUACGAAGGGGGCUAGCGUUGCUCGGAAUUACUGGGCGUAAAGGGAGCGUAGGCGGACAUUUAAGUCAGGGGUGAAAUCCCGGGGCUCAACCUCGGAAUUGCCUUUGAUACUGGGUGUCUUGAGUAUGAGAGAGGUGUGUGGAACUCCGAGUGUAGAGGUGAAAUUCGUAGAUAUUCGGAAGAACACCAGUGGCGAAGGCGACACACUGGCUCAUUACUGACGCUGAGGCUCGAAAGCGUGGGGAGCAAACAGGAUUAGAUACCCUGGUAGUCCACGCCGUAAACGAUGAUUGCUAGUUGUCGGGAUGCA
rnacentral:rRNA from 1 species